rnacentral:rRNA from 1 species
UACGUAGGGAGCAAGCGUUGUCCGGAAUCAUUGGGCGUAAAGCGCGCGUAGGCGGCCCGAUAAGUCCGUUGUGAAAGUCAAAGGCUCAACCUUUGAAUGCCGAUGGAUACUGUCGGGCUAGAGUCCGGAAGAGGCGAGUGGAAUUCCUGGUGUAGCGGUGAAAUGCGCAGAUAUCAGGAAGAACACCCGUGGCGAAGGCGGCUCUCUGGGACGGUACUGACGCUGAGACGCGAAAGCGUGGGGAGCGAACAGG